rnacentral:lncRNA from 1 species
GAGAGCCAUCUUGUUCCUUGACGGUUCAAUCGGUCGAACCAGCCAAUCUAGUCCGAGUUUAAAAACCAUAGUAUCUAUCAUAUUAUUAAUUGCUAGUUGGGAUAAGGGGAGUAGGAGACGGAGAGGAGGGCAGUCACCAGUGACGAAAGGAACUAGUUACCAUAGGAGCUACUGACCAGAGACGAGAGCGGACCAUAGAGUCCCGUUACCAGCUGACUUCCUUUCCUAUUCAUACUAACUAUUCCUUGUGCUUCCUUUUGUUCCGGUUACGAGUGAGCUUGGGGUUGGAGUUGCGCCGCUCGACUAAAAAGGUCCAGAGCGGGAGCAUGCCAAAAGGGUUCAGUCAUUUUGAUGAAUUUAUAUACAGAGUCGCGGGGACAGCUACUGAUUCCGAAAGCCGUACUACUGUCUUCUGGGGCGAACUCCUGGUCGAAGUCCUGAAGGGCUUGGUUAUGGUAGUCCUAGGUCUAUAAGACUACGGCUUAUCAAGCUGAGG